GGCCUCUGUAUAUGCUACCACUUACAGAUGAAUCCGCGUCCCAUUAGCCAGUUGGUGGGGUAAAGGCCUACCAAAGCGACGAUGGGUAGCCGGCCUGAGAGGGUGACCGGCCACACUGGAACUGAGAUACGGUCCAGACUCCUACGGGAGGCAGCAGUGGGGAAUCUUCCGCAAUGGGCGAAAGCCUGACGGAGCAACGCCGCGUGAGCGAAGAAGGUCUUCGGAUUGUAAAGCUCUGUGAUAUUGGACGAACAGUUUUCCUGUGUAUGAAUAAGCCACGGCUAACUACGUGCCAGCAGCCGCGGUAAUACGUAGGUGGCAAACGUUGUCCGGAAUUACUGGGCGUAAAGGGCGAGUAGGUGGUUUAUUAAGUCAGAAGUGAAAUUCUGCCGCUUAACCGGAGACUGCUCCUGAAACUGGUAGACUUGAGUGCAAGAGAGGGAAGUGGAAUUCCUAGUGUAGCGGUGAAAUGCGUAGAUAUUAGGAGGAACACCAGUGGCGAAGGCGACUUCCUGGCUUGUAACUGACACUGAGGCGCGAAAGCGUGGGGAUCAAACAGGAUUAGAUACCCUGGUAGUCCACGCCGUAAACGAUGAGUGCUAGGUGUCGGGGGUCAAACCUCGGUGCCGCAGCUAACGCAAUAAGCACUCCGCCUGGGGAGUACGGUCGCAAGACUGAAACUCAAAGGAAUUGACGGGGGCCCGCACAAGCGGUGGAGUAUGUGGUUUAAUUCGACGCAACGCGAAGAACCUUACCAAGGCUUGACAUCCCCCUGACCGGUCCGUAACGGGACCUUUCCUUCGGGACAGAGGAGACAGGUGGUGCAUGGUUGUCGUCAGCUCGUGUCGUGAGAUGUUGGGUUAAGUCCCGCAACGAGCGCAACCCUUAUCUUUAGUUGCCAUCAUUAAGUUGGGCACUCUAAAGAGACUGCCGAGGAUAACUCGGAGGAAGGUGGGGAUGACGUCAAAUCAUCAUGCCCCUUAUGAUCUGGGCUACACACGUGCUACAAUGGCGAUAACAAAGGGAAGCGAAAGGGUGACCUGGAGCAAACCCCAGAAAAAUCGUCCCAGUUCGGAUUGUAGUCUGCAACUCGACUACAUGAAGUUGGAAUCGCUAGUAAUCGCGAAUCAGAAUGUCGCGGUGAAUACGUUCCCGGGUCUUGUACACACCGCCCGUCACACCAUGGGAGUUGGAAGCGCCCGAAGCCAGUGACUCAACCGUAAGGAGAGAGCUGUCGAAGGUGAAGCCAAUGACUGGGGUGAAGUCGUAACAAGGUAACC
rnacentral:rRNA from 1 species